CAGGCUUAACACAUGCAAGUCGAGGGGCAGCAUUUUAGUUUGCUUGCAAACUGAAGAUGGCGACCGGCGCACGGGUGAGUAACACGUAUCCAACCUGCCGAUAACUCCGGAAUAGCCUUUCGAAAGAAAGAUUAAUACCGGAUAGCAUACGAAUAUCGCAUGAUAUUUUUAUUAAAGAAUUUCGGUUAUCGAUGGGGAUGCGUUCCAUUAGUUUGUUGGCGGGGUAACGGCCCACCAAGACUACGAUGGAUAGGGGUUCUGAGAGGAAGGUCCCCCACAUUGGAACUGAGACACGGUCCAAACUCCUACGGGAGGCAGCAGUGAGGAAUAUUGGUCAAUGGGCGAGAGCCUGAACCAGCCAAGUAGCGUGAAGGAUGAAGGCUCUAUGGGUCGUAAACUUCUUUUAUAUGGGAAUAAAGUUUUCCACGUGUGGAAUUUUGUAUGUACCAUAUGAAUAAGGAUCGGCUAACUCCGUGCCAGCAGCCGCGGUAAUACGGAGGAUCCGAGCGUUAUCCGGAUUUAUUGGGUUUAAAGGGAGCGUAGGUGGAUUGUUAAGUCAGUUGUGAAAGUUUGCGGCUCAACCGUAAAAUUGCAGUUGAAACUGGCAGUCUUGAGUACAGUAGAGGUGGGCGGAAUUCGUGGUGUAGCGGUGAAAUGCUUAGAUAUCACGAAGAACUCCGAUUGCGAAGGCAGCUCACUAGACUGUCACUGACACUGAUGCUCGAAAGCGUGGGUAUCAAACAGGAUUAGAUACCCUGGUAGUCCACACAGUAAACGAUGAAUACUCGCUGUUUGCGAUAUACAGUAAGCGGCCAAGCGAAAGCAUUAAGUAUUCCACCUGGGGAGUACGCCGGCAACGGUGAAACUCAAAGGAAUUGACGGGGGCCCGCACAAGCGGAGGAACAUGUGGUUUAAUUCGAUGAUACGCGAGGAACCUUACCCGGGCUUAAAUUGCAACAGAAUAUAUUGGAAACAGUAUAGCCGUAAGGCUGUUGUGAAGGUGCUGCAUGGUUGUCGUCAGCUCGUGCCGUGAGGUGUCGGCUUAAGUGCCAUAACGAGCGCAACCCUUAUCUUUAGUUACUAACAGGUCAUGCUGAGGACUCUAGAGAGACUGCCGUCGUAAGAUGUGAGGAAGGUGGGGAUGACGUCAAAUCAGCACGGCCCUUACGUCCGGGGCUACACACGUGUUACAAUGGGGGGUACAGAAGGCGGCUACCUGGUGACAGGAUGCUAAUCCCAAAAACCUCUCUCAGUUCGGAUCGAAGUCUGCAACCCGACUUCGUGAAGCUGGAUUCGCUAGUAAUCGCGCAUCAGCCAUGGCGCGGUGAAUACGUUCCCGGGCCUUGUACACACCGCCCGUCAAGCCAUGAAAGCCGGGGGUACCUGAAGUACGUAACCGCAAGGAGCGUCCUAGGGUAAAACUGGUAAUUGGGGCUAAGU
rnacentral:rRNA from 1 species